rnacentral:tRNA from 1 species
GCCCGGUUAGCGCAGUGGUUGGUACGUGCAAUUCUCACCUCUGCGACUCGGGUUCAAUCCCCGCUUCCGGCG